GAUGAACGCUGGCGGCGUGCUUAACACAUGCAAGUCGAACGGAAAGGCCCAAGCUUGCUUGGGUACUCGAGUGGCGAACGGGUGAGUAACACGUGGGUGAUCUGCCCUGCACUUCGGGAUAAGCCUGGGAAACUGGGUCUAAUACCGGAUAGGACCACAUUUUGGAUGGUGUGGUGGAAAGUUUUUCGGUGUGGGAUGAGCUCGCGGCCUAUCAGCUUGUUGGUGGGGUAAUGGCCUACCAAGGCGUCGACGGGUAGCCGGCCUGAGAGGGUGUACGGCCACAUUGGGACUGAGAUACGGCCCAGACUCCUACGGGAGGCAGCAGUGGGGAAUAUUGCACAAUGGGCGCAAGCCUGAUGCAGCGACGCCGCGUGAGGGAUGACGGCCUUCGGGUUGUAAACUCCUUUCGCUAGGGACGAAGCGUUAUGUGACGGUACCUGGAGAAGAAGCACCGGCUAACUACGUG
rnacentral:rRNA from 1 species